rnacentral:rRNA from 1 species
GACGAACCGUGCGAACGUUGUUCGGAAUCACUGGGCGUAAAGGGCGCGUAGGCGGUCGUGACAAGUCACUUGUGAAAUCUCCGGGCUUAACUCGGAACGGUCAAGUGAUACUGUCGGACUAGAGUACAGAAGGGGCAACUGGAAUUCUCGGUGUAGCGGUGAAAUGCGUAGAUAUCGAGAGGAACACCUGCGGCGAAGGCGGGUUGCUGGGCUGAUACUGACGCUGAGGCGCGAAAGCCAGGGGAGCGAACGGG